rnacentral:rRNA from 1 species
UACGAGGGGGGCGAGCGUUGUUCGGAAUUAUUGGGCGUAAAGGGUGCGUAGGCGGUUUGGUAAGUCUGAUGUGAAAUCUAUGGGCUCAACUCAUAGUCUGCAUCGGAAACUGCCGGGCUUGAGUAUGGGAGAGGUGAGUGGAAUUCCUGGUGUAGCGGUGAAAUGCGCAGAUAUCAGGAAGAACACCCGUGGCUAAGGCGGCUCUCUAGUACGUGACUGACGCUGAGACGCGAAAGCGUGGGGAGCGAACAGG